rnacentral:rRNA from 1 species
AUACGUAGGGGGCGAGCGUUGUCCGGAAUGAUUGGGCGUAAAGGGCGCGUAGGCGGCCCUGUAAGUCUGGAGUGAAAGUCCUGUUUUUAAGAUGGGAAUUGCUUUGGAUACUGUCGGGCUUGAGUGCAGGAGAGGUAAGUGGAAUUCCCAGUGUAGCGGUGAAAUGCGUAGAGAUUGGGAGGAACACCAGUGGCGAAGGCGACUUACUGGACUGUAACUGACGCUGAGGCGCGAAAGUGUGGGGAGCAAACAGGAUUAGAUACCCUGGUAGUCCACACUGUAAACGAUGAAUGCUAGGUGUAGGGGGUAUCGACCCCUUCUGUGCCGCAGUCAACACAAUAAGCAUUCCGCCUGGGGAGUACGGCCGCAAGGUUGAAACUCAAAUGAAUUGACGGG